rnacentral:rRNA from 1 species
UAGCGAAGGGGCUAGCGUUGUUCGGAAUUACUGGGCGUAAAGGGUGCGUAGGCGGGUCUUUAAGUCAGGGGUGAAAUCCUGGAGCUCAACUCCAGAACUGCCUUUGAUACUGAAGAUCUUGAGUUCGGGAGAGGUGAGUGGAACUGCGAGUGUAGAGGUGAAAUUCGUAGAUAUUCGCAAGAACACCAGUGGCGGAAGGCGGCUCACUGGCCCGAUACUGACGCUGAGGCACGGAAAGCGAUGGGGAGCCAAACAGGGGA